GUGGGUACAACUUGGUGGUAGAGUGUGUGCUUAGCAUACAUGAGGUCCUGGGUUCAAUCCCCAGUACCUCUA
rnacentral:tRNA from 1 species